rnacentral:rRNA from 1 species
UCGAGCGGACAGAUGGGAGCUUGCUCCCUGAUGUUAGCGGCGGACGGGUGAGUAACACGUGGGUAACCUGCCUGUAAGACUGGGAUAACUCCGGGAAACCGGGGCUAAUACCGGAUGGUUGUUUGAACCGCAUGGUUCAAACAUAAAAGGUGGCUUCGGCUACCACUUACAGAUGGACCCGCGGCGCAUUAGCUAGUUGGUGAGGUAAUGGCUCACCAAGGCAACGAUGCGUAGCCUACCUGAGAGGGUGAUCGGCCACACUGGGACUGAGACACGGCCCAGACUCCUACGGGAGGCAGCAGUAGGGAAUCUUCCGCAAUGGACGAAAGUCUGACGGAGCAACGCCGCGUGAGUGAUGAAGGUUUUCGGAUCGUAAAGCUCUGUUGUUAGGGAAGAACAAGUACCGUUCGAAUAGGGCGGUACCUUGACGGUACCUAACCAGAAAGCCACGGCUAACUACGUGCCAGCAGCCGCGGUAAUACGUAGGUGGCAAGCGUUGUCCGGAAAUUAUUGGGCGUAAAGGGCUCGCAGGCGGUUUCUUAAGUCUGAUGUGAAAAGCCCCCCGGCUCAACCGGGGGAGGGUUCAUUGGAAAACUGGGGAACUUGAGUGCAGAAGAGGAGAGUGGAAUUCCACGUGUAGCGGUGAAAUGCGUAGAGAUGUGGAGGAAACACCAGUGGCGAAGGCGACUCUCUGGUCUGUAACUGACGCUGAGGAGCGAAAGCGUGGGGGAGCGAACAGGAUUAGAUACCCUGGAGUCCACGCCGUAAACGAUGAGUGCUAAGUGUUAGGGGGGUUUCCGCCCCUUUAGUGCUGCAGCUAACGCAUUUAAGCACUCCGCCUGGGG